UGCUUCCCUUGGGGAUGCCCAGAACACAGCCUGGGAUGAUGAGGAGAGGCGGGAGAGCUUCCUAGGAGAUGGGCCCUGGAGCACCACCGUCCCUCCCCCAGGCCCAGGAUGUGAUUCUGAAUCUACAGUCAGACUGGACCACCUCUCCCCCAUGCCCCCAGAAUGUCCACAGGGGCUCCCUCGCCUACAAUAGAUGGAUUAGGUUCCUCCCUACUCUUCCCACACUGUCAGAGUCUGACUGGUGUGAAGUUCCGGUGUUUUUGUGUGCAUUUUACUACCAGGGUCGGCUAGAUAAGGAGGAGCUUUCAUUACAUCCUGGAGGUCUGUCCCCCGCACACACGCACAGCCGUCCUCCCUUCCCCCAACAUCUGAUCUAAUUCUCUCUCUGCUUUGCUGAGGCUGGCCUGGCCUAAGAGGAUUAGAGCAUUUGCUAAACGGGACCAGGACAGGCAGGGUCAGAGAACCCGCUGUGGGGAGACCCA
rnacentral:lncRNA from 1 species